CGGACCGACGAUCCGGACUCGGCUGGGCCUGGCCCCGAUCGCCAUCUUUACUUACCAUCGACUCCACCGAUGUUGUCUGUCCGCCUUCCGAUUGCCGUAGUCUCUACUCUUCUCCUGCGACGCUGCCUCAAUCUCCCUUUCCGCCACUGGCGAAGAAAAGGGGUUUGAGCGGUCGUCCAUCCAAGUGUUCUGUUUCUCAUCGUCAUCGGCAGUGUAUCAUGGUUACUCGCUCACCUCCGCUGCCUCCGUGGGGUCAUCUGCCUAUUGGAAGAGCAAGCAGCCGCGGCGACGGAGGAGAAAAGAAAUGAGAUGAAGAACCGUGUGGGCGGCGAUCUAUGGUGCGCCCGUGGGAUUCUGUUCGCCGUAGUGGCAUCCGUGGAUUGUAUAGUACCUCACCAUCCGAUGGUUGGAAGAGGAAUGCCUGAGGCGGCCCAGCAGAUCCACAGAGAGUGAGCUCCAGUGAGGCAGAAGCAUUGCUGUCAACUGGCAUAGUUGAGUUCUUCUCAAGCUCUUCAGAUCGUUGUGAUGUGGCCUGAUCAUUCUUCAAGCUGGAUUUGAAGAGAGGAGAGCAAACAGAUGGUUUUCAUUUAUCAAGAAUUAAAGUAGCUGCAACAGCUGAUCUUUUGAGAUCCAACAUUUAUAAAGGAUGGCAGUCUUAUUGUGGUCUAUCUUUCCUCGCGAGAAAAAAAAAAACCAAAACUUUGGAAAUGCACAAGUAACAACACUUGUUACCUUUUGAAAUUUAAGAGCGAGCGAGCAAAGGAGCUUGCGUUAUCUAUGUUGAAUUGGUGUGGUACAUUUGUAGGUGGUAGCAUAAUUGAGUUUCUAAUCAUCCUGUUGCCCUUCCAAGGGUUGGCUUCUUCCUCAUAUGGCAUGUUCUACAUUGCAGGUUCAAAAAAUUCUGCUGACAUCACAAUAUAGUCCUUAAUUUUUUUCUUCCUAGCAGUGUUCUAAAUGAUGACGGUUGAGACGGCCACCUAAACACCGCCUAAGUGGGAGGUGCAUCUCAAUCGUAUUGCCUUGUAUUUAGGCCGUGGCAAAGUAUUUCCGAUUUAGACUUGAGACUCGUCAUCGGACUCAGACGAUGGAUCCAGACUCGUCGUCGGACUCAAGCGACAUGUCCAACGCCAAAAUGCCGAAGUUGAUCAUCGAAUAGAAUAAGUUUUUUUUAACUUAGAUUUUAAUCGAAAUUUUAGAUUAAUAAUUUUAAUUAUGAUUGGGAUAAUUUAAAUAGUUUUAAUUAAAACCUAAUAAAAUUAAUUUAUUAUUUUGAUAUAUUAUUA